rnacentral:lncRNA from 1 species
UACAAUUUUCACGACAAAGAGACAUCAUGAGAGCUAGGCAAGUCACUGGACAAGAUAUACCAAGGAAUUUGUAUUUCUGGGCACAUAAUCAAGAAUAAAAUGCACAAUUACAUAUGAAUGGGGAAUUAUGUACACGAGGCAAUUAUUCCCACGCGUAUACAAUUUAGAUGAGUAAGAAACAUGCUUCUGGGCACAAUUAAUUUAGAUGAGUAAGAAACAUGCUUCUGGGCACAAUUCCUAUGGCUAUCUGACCCCUACACAAAAAUCUUCAAAAUGCUGUCUUCUGUUUAUCUAUUCUCCACAUAAAACAACCUGACGCCACCCUUCGUUAGCCUUUUUAUAUACUCUCCAUGCAAAAUGAAAACACAAAGGAAGGAGGAAACUCCACAGGAGACAU